ACUUGAUUUUGUGGUUUUUGUUUAACUUGAGUUUGUGUCGUGUUUGAACUUCAGUUUGUGGUGUUUUUUAACUUGAGUUUGUGGUUUUUUUGAAGUUGAGAGUGUGGGAUUUUUUGAACUUCAGUUUGUGGCAAUUGUUAAACUUGAGUUUGUGUUUUAGUUGAACCUGAGUUUGUUUCGUGUUUGAACUUGAGUUUGUGGUGUUUUUAAACAUGACUUUGUGGUAUUUUUAAAUUUGAGGGGGUAGAAUUUGUUGAACUUGAGGUUGUGGCAAUUGUUAAACUUGAGAUUUGGGUGUUGGUUGAACUUGAGUUUGUGUUGUUUUUGAACUUGAGUUUGUGGCGUUUCUGAACUUGAGUUGGUGGUGUUUUUGAACUUGAGUUUCAUGUUUGAACUUGAUUUUGUGGUUUUUGUUGAACUUGAGUUUGUGUCGGUGUGAACUUGAGUUUGUGGUGUUUUUUAACUUGAGUUUGUGGUUUUUUUGAAGUUGAGAGUGUGGAAUUUGUUGAACUUGAGGUUGUGGCAAUUGUUAAACUUGAGUUUGUGUUUUAGUUGAACUUGAGUUUGUGUCGUGUUUGAACUUGAGUUUUUGUGUUUUUUGAACUUAAGUUUGUGUUGUUUUUGAACAUGAGUUUGUUUCAUGUUUGAACUUGAGAUUGUGGCGUUUGUUGAACUUGAGUUUGUGUGUUUGUUGAACUUGAGGGUGUGGCAAUUGUUAAAUUUUAGAUUUGGGGGUUGGUUGAACUUGAUUUUUUGUUGUUUUUGUACUGGAGUUUGUGGUUUUUUUGAAGUUGGGGGUGUGGAAUUUGUUAAACUUGAGAAUCUGGUAUUGGUUGAACUUGAGUCAUUGGUGUUUUUGAACUUGAGUUUGUGUCGUGUUUGAACUUGAGUUUGUGGUGUUUUUGACCUUGAAUUUGCGUGUUUGGUGAACUUGAGUUUGUGUGUUUGUUGCACUUGAGGUUGUGGCAAUUUUUAAACUUGAGACUUGGAUAUUGGUUGACCUUGAGUUUGUGUCGUGUUUCAACUUGAGUCUGUGUUCUUUUUGAACUUGAGCUUGUGGAAUUGUAAAACUUGAGAAUCAGGUGUUGGUUGAACUUGAAUUUGUGUUUUUUUUUAAACUUGAGUUUGUGUUGUGUUUGAACUUGAGUAUGUUGUGUAUUUGAACUUCAGUCUGUGUUGUUUUUGAACUUGAGGUGGUGGAAAUUGUUCAACUUGAGAAAGUGGGUAUUGGUUGAACUUGAGUUUAUAUUGUUUUUGAACUUGUGUUUGUGGUGUGUUUGAACUUGAGAUUGUGUGUUAUUUGAACUUGAGGUUGUUAAAAUUUUUAAACUUGAGAAUCAGGUGUUGGUUGAACUUGAGUUUGUGGUUUUUGUUGAACUUGAGUUUGUGGUGUGUUUGAACUUGAGAUUGUGUGUUAUUUAAACUUGAGGUUGUGAAAAUUUUUAAACUUGACAAUCAGGUGUUGGUUGAACUUGAGUUUGUGUUGUGUUUGAACUUGAUUUUGUGCCGUUUUUUAACUUGAGUUUGUGGUGAUUUUGAACUUGAGUCUGUGUUGUUCUUGAAUUUGUAGUUGUGGAAAUUGUUAAACUUGAGAAUUGGGUCCUGGUUGAACUUGAGUUUUUGGUGUUUUUGAACUUGAGUUUGUGUCGUGUUUGAACUUGAGUUUCAUGUUUGAACUUGAUUUUGUGGUUUUUGUUUAACUUGAGUUUGUGUCGUGUUUGAACUUCAGUUUGUGGUGUUUUUUAACUUGAGUUUGUGGUUUUUUUGAAGUUGAGAGUGUGGGAUUUUUUGAACUUCAGUUUGUGGCAAUUGUUAAACUUGAGUUUGUGUUUUAGUUGAACCUGAGUUUGUUUCGUGUUUGAACUUGAGUUUGUGGUGUUUUUAAACAUGACUUUGUGGUAUUUUUAAAUUUGAGGGGGUAGAAUUUGUUGAACUUGAGGUUGUGGCAAUUGUUAAACUUGAGAUUUGGGUGUUGGUUGAACUUGAGUUUGUGUUGUUUUUGAACUUGAGUUUGUGGCGUUUCUGAAAUUGAGUUGGUGGUGUUUUUGAACUUGAGUUUCAUGUUUGAACUUGAUUUUGUGGUUUUUGUUGAACUUGAGUUUGUGUCGGUGUGAACUUCAGUUUGUGGUGUUUUUUAACUUGAGUUUGUGGUUUUUUUGAAGUUGAGAGUGUGGAAUUUGUUGAACUUGAGGUUGUGGCAAUUGUUAAACUUGAGUUUGUGUUUUAGUUGAACUUGAGUUUGUGUCGUGUUUGAACUUGAGUUUUUGUGUUUUUUGAACUUAAGUUUGUGUUGUUUUUGAACAUGAGUUUGUUUCAUGUUUGAACUUGAGAUUGUGGCGUUUGUUGAACUUGAGUUUGUGUGUUUGUUGAACUUGAGGGUGUGGCAAUUGUUAAAUUUUAGAUUUGGGGGUUGGUUGAACUUGAUUUUUUGUUGUUUUUGUACUGGAGUUUGUGGUUUUUUUGAAGUUGGGGGUGUGGAAUUUGUUGAAUUUGAGGUUGUGGCGAUUGUUUAACUUGAGUUUGUGUUUUAGUUGAACUUGAGUUUGUGUCAUGUUUGAACUUCAGUUUUUGUGUUUGUUGAACUUUAGUUUAUGUUGUGUUUGAACUUGAGUUUUUGUUGUAUUUGAAAUUGACUUUGUGUGUUUGUUGAACUUGAGUUUGUGUUGUGUUUGAACUUGAGUGUGUGUCAUGUUUGAACUUUAGUUAGUGGUGUUUUCGAACUUGAGUUUGUGUCGUGUUUGCACUUGAGUUUGUGGUGUUUUUGAACUUGAUUUGGUGUGUUUGUUGAACUUGAGUUUGUGGUCUUUUUGAACUCGAGUUGGUGGUGAUUUUGAACUUGAGUUUCGUGUUUGAACUUGAGUUUGUGGUUUUUGUUUAACUUGAGUUUGUGUCGUGUUUGAACUUGAGUUUGUGGUGUUUUUGAACUUGAGUUUCGUGUUUGAACUUGAGUUUGUGGUUUUUGUUUAACUUGAGUUUGUGUCGUGUUUGAACUUGAGUUUGUGGUGUUUUUGAACUUGAGUUUGUGUCGUGUUUGAACUUGAGUUUGUGGUGUUUUUGAACUUGAUUUGCUGUGUUUGUUGAACUUGAGUUUUUGGUCUUUUUGAACUUGAGUUGGUGGUGAUUUUGAACUUGAGUUUGUGGUAUUUCUGAAGUUUAGGGUGUGGAAUUUUUUUAACUUGAGGUUGUGGAAAUUGUUAAACUUGUGUGUUAUUUGAACUCUAGUUUGUGCCGUGUUUGAACUUGAGUUUGUGGUGUUUGUUGAACUCUAUUUUUUGUGUUUGUUGAACUUGAGUUUCGUGUUUGAACUUGAGUUUUUGGUUUUUGUUGAACUUGAGUUUGUGUCGUUUUUGAACUUGAGUUUCUGGUUUUUUGAAGUUGAGGGUGUGGAAUUUGUUGAACUUGAUGUUGUGGGAUUUUUUAAACUUGAGUUUGUGUUUAAGUUGAACUUGAGUUGGUGUCGUGUUUGAACUUGAGUUUUUGUGUUUGUUGAACUUAAGUUUGUGUUGUUUUUAAACAUGAGUUUGUUUCAUGUUUGAACUUGACUUUGUGGCUUUUGUUGAACUUGAGUUUGUGUGGUUGUUUAACUAGAGGUUGUGGCAGUUGUUAAGCUUGAGAUUUGGUUGUUGGUUGAACUCUAGUUUGUGUCGUGUUUGAACUUGAGUUUGUGGUUUUUGUUGAACUUGAGUUUGUGUUUUUUGUUGAACUUGAGUUUGUGUGUUUUUUGAACUUGAGUUUCUGUUGUUUUUUAACUUAAUGUUGUUGAAAUCUUUAAACUUGAGAAUUGUGUAUUGUUUGAUCUUUAGUUUGUGUGUUUGUUAAACUUGGGUUUGUGUCGUGUUUGAACUUGAGUUUGUGAUGUUUUUGAACUUGAGGUUGUGGAGAUUUUUUAUCUUGAGAAUUGGGUAUUGGUCGAACUUGAGUUUUUGUUGCUUUUUAACUUGAGUUUGUGACGUGUUUAAACUUAGGUUUUGGUGUGUUUUAACUUGAGUUUGUGUGUUUGUUGAACUUGAGGAUGUGGCAAUAGCAAAACUUAAGAUUUGGGUGUUGAAUUUGAGUUUGUGUCAUGUCUGAACUUGAGUUCAUGAUGUUUGUUUAACUUUAUUUUGUGUGUUUUUUGAACUUGAGGUUUUGAAAAUUUUUAAACUUGAGAAUCAGGUGUUUGUUGAACUUGAGUUUGUGGUUUUUUUUACUUGAGUUUGUGUCGUGUUUUAACUUGAGUUUGUGUUUUUUUUUAACUUGAGGUUGUGGAAAUUGUUAAACUUGAGAAUCUGGUAUUGGUUGAACUUGAGUCAUUGGUGUUUUUGAACUUGAGUUUGUGUCGUGUUUGAACUUGAGUUUGUGGUGUUUUUGACCUUGAAUUUGCGUGUUUGGUGAACUUGAGUUUGUGUGUUUGUUGCACUUGAGGUUGUGGCAAUUUUUAAACUUGAGACUUGGAUAUUGGUUGACCUUGAGUUUGUGUCGUGUUUCAACUUGAGUCUGUGUUCUUUUUGAACUUGAGCUUGUGGAAUUGUAAAACUUGAGAAUCAGGUGUUGGUUGAACUUGAAUUUGUGUUUUUUUUUAAACUUGAGUUUGUGUUGUGUUUGAACUUGAGUAUGUUGUGUAUUUGAACUUCAGUCUGUGUUGUUUUUGAACUUGAGGUGGUGGAAAUUGUUCAACUUGAGAAAGUGGGUAUUGGUUGAACUUGAGUUUAUAUUGUUUUUGAACUUGUGUUUGUGGUGUGUUUGAACUUGAGAUUCUGUGUUAUUUGAACUUGAGGUUGUUAAAAUUUUUAAACUUGAGAAUCAGGUGUUGGUUGAACUUGAGUUUGUGGUUUUUGUUGAACUUGAGUUUGUGGUGUGUUUGAACUUGAGAUUGUGUGUUAUUUAAACUUGAGGUUGUGAAAUUUUUUAAACUUGACAAUCAGGUGUUGGUUGAACUUGAGUUUGUGUUGUGUUUGAACUUGAUUUUGUGCCGUUUUUUAACUUGAGUUUGUGGUGAUUUUGAACUUGAGUCUGUGUUGUUCUUGAAUUUGAAGUUGUGGAAAUUGUUAAACUUGAGAAUUGGGUCCUGGUUGAACUUGAGUUUUUGGUGUUUUUGAACUUGAGUUUGUGUCGUGUUUGAACUUGAGUUUGUGGUGUUUUUGAACUUUAAUUUGUGUGUUUUGUGAACUUGAGUUUGUGUUUUUUGAACUUGAGUUUCUGUUGUAUUUGAACUUGAGGUUGUGGAUAUUGUUAAACCUUUGAAUCAGGUGUUGGUUGAACUUGAGUUUGUGUGUUUGUUGAACUAAGAUUCGUUGAACUUGAGUUUGUGGCAAUUGCUGAACUUGCGUCUGUGGUGUAGCAAUCAAGACAACCCUGGGUGUGAAACUCACACAUUUCUCACAGGAAAGUUUCCUUAUCUGGUCCCAGGACACAGGAUAUAAAUCUUUCCAGACUUGUUUGCACUUUCAGGUUAAAUGACCCGACCGGAGGUUGACUAAACCUCUGACUCUUCACGAUUGGUCAAUUCGGAGAACAGAGACAGAGUUUUUAUUACCUUUCAAACUGACUCCAUUGCUGACCAUCUAAAUAAACAUUAACGUCUCAACCUAGAUCUCCCAUUUGAGAUUUACCUUCUUAAAGUGUGUGAACAUACAGACCCCAGGAGAAGAGGGGACACUGACCUCCAGACCUCGGUCGUAAAACCCUGCUCGACCAUUCACUGAUAAAGACUGCAUUCCUUUGGUGAAAGAAUACAAAUGACUGAUCCUGACAUCUUAUGCAUUCAGCAAUGUACUAAUCUGUCUAAUCAUGAAAUAUGUGUUAAAAUGAGAUGUUUCCCGUUUUUCUAUGUGCUCCAGAAGCAGAAUUAUUACUCGGACAGAAUAAAUCCUUUAUUCUUAAGUUUCUUUAGACCAACAGCUUUUCAGACUGUUUCAUGAACUUUUAAGAGUUAAAUUUAUUGACUAUGAAUGUUUGAUGUGAUCCUACACUUCAUUCAUAUAUGUUUAGUAUUGAAUUAUUUAUCAUGAAACCAAGCAUUCAAUGAUAUUAAUCAUAGUGAGUGAGUAUCAGAUCUGACUCUUUUACCAGCCAAAAGAAUAAGGUAGAUCAAAUAAUCAGAGACCCCAUGAACCCUCCUCUUUCUCCUCACACACACACGCCAGAGCCACUCCCAGUGUGAGAAGAUAAAACCAGUGAAGUGGGGUUGCUCACUCUCUUGUCUGCUCUCUCUUAUGCCCCUUACUCUUCUCCCCUUUUGGGUCUUCUGUCCACACCCUUCUGUGGUCCUCUUCUUUGUUUUCUCUUAGAACUUUUUCUUACUCUUCUAAGUUUUACACCACGUGUUGAUUCACGUUGAUUUUUCUUUAACAUCGUCUUAGUUCAAGUUUUGAAACUUCAACUUUUUGUGCGCAUAGCAAUUCAAGAUUAAGCUUUUGAUUGAUUUUUCUUUAAUUUCGUGAGGCCAUUUUUGAAAGUUAUCUCUGCUCAUCGAACCUCGUUUUUCUGAGUUAUCUGUGUGAUUUCAAAGUCACCUCUGAACGCAACCCAGCAGGCCCAGGUCAUCCUCUGUGCCAGAGUUUUUGAGUGAGACCAAAGAAGCAUCCAAACGAGCAUCCUCAGGAUCCACAGGCGCCGGCUUUACUUCAGGCCUGAGUGCUACAACUCCUGGCCCAUUCUUCAGCUGACUUCAGUCGUCUUUUGAGCUGAACCGCUCGAAUCGCCGUUAGCCCCGGACCUUCGGAACCUGCUCCAUCUUCUCCAAGGACCAGUCUCACUUAAGUAUGCAAAUCUCCAGAGCUCCAAACAGGGCUGAUGCUGUCUCAUGCGUUCAUAACUCAGAUAUCCACUUAUUCUGGUAAUCUCAGAUUCCUCCAAAUCCACAUCCGAGUUUAUCUUGACACCAAAGUUAGUGUAGGUUAAUAUGUUAGAGCAUAUUCACUCACUAUCAUUAACUUUAGUGCUCCUAGCCUGACUCAGAAUCUUUAUUUAUUCACCUAUUGUUAUAUAUCCUCAUUAUCUUAUCAUCAUUUAUUGCAUGUGUGUUGUACCAUCAUUUAUGCUGUAAUAAACAGAUCAUUAUUUUUCUAAGUUCUUGUCUGUUAGUGUUCUUCCAGAAGUGGAGUCCCUGAAAUGAGAAUUUCGGCUUAAGAUAUGAGAUUGAUUAAUUAAUGAUUGACUUGAUGUUUGAUUUCUGAAUUAAACUUUAGUUUUCUUUAUUUUCCCACCAUUAAGGGUGGGUGGUGCCCCUUUCAACGAGUGCAUAAAUGUCAUAACUUGAGAUUAUUAAUCUUCAGACAUUUCUUAUAAAUUCAAAUCGCUACAGUAUUAUUUUGGUGCGACCGUGUGAGGCUAAUUUCAAACCGUAUUAUUUUGGUGCCGCUGUGUAAGGCUCAUUUCAAAUCGCUACAGUGGUUUUUAAUGAACUUUAAUUGGUGUCAAUUUUUGAACUUGAGUUUGUGUGUUGGUUGAACUUGAGUUUGUGGUGUGUUUGAACUUGAGUUUGUGUGUUGGUUGAACUUGAGAUUGAAGUGUGUUUAAACUUGAGUUUGUGUGUUGGUUGAACUUGAGUUUGUGUCAUGUUUGAACUUGAGUUUUUUGUGUUUUUUGAACUUGAGUUUGUGGCAAUUGUUGAACUUGCGUCUGUGGUUUUUACUGAACUUUAAUCUCUGGCUAUUUUUAACUUGAGUUUUUGGCGUUUGUUGAACUUAAGUUUGUGUCGUGUUUGAACUUGAGUUUGUGGUGUUUUUGAACUUGAUUUUGUGUGUUUGAUGAACUUGAUUUUGUGUUUUGUUUGAACUUGAGUUUGUGGUGUUUUUGAACUUGAGGUUGUGGAAAUUGUUAAACCUGAGAAUCAGGUGUUGGUUGAACUUGAGUUAGUGUGUUUGUUGAACUUGAGUUUGUGUUGUGUUUGAACUUGAGUUUGUGGUGUUUUUGAACUUGAGUUUGUGUGUUUGAUGAACUUGAUUUUGUGUUUUGUUUGAACUUGAGUUUGUGGUGUUUUUGAACUUGAGGUUGUGGAAAUUGUUAAACAUAAGAAUUGGGUAUUGGUUGAGUUUUUUUUGUUUUUGAACUUGAGUUUGUGUCAUGUUUAAACUUGAGUUUGUGCUGUGUUUGAAUUUGAGUUUGUGUUUUUUUUAACUUGAGUUUGUGAAAAUUUUUAAACUUGAGAAUUAGCUGUUAGUUGAACUUGAGUUUGUGGUUUUUGUUGAACUUGAGUUUGUGUCGUGUUUGAACUUGCGUUUGUUGUGUUUUUGAACUUGAGUUUCUGUUGUUUUUGAACUUUAGGUUUUGAAAAUUGUUAAACCCGGGAAUCAGGUGUUGGUUGAACUUGAGUUAGUUUGUUUGUUGAACUUGAGUUUGUGGUGUGUUUGAACUUGAGUUUGUAUGUUGGUUGAACUUGAGUUUGUGUCGUUUUUGAACUUGAGUUUUUUGUGUUUUUGAACUUGAAUUUGCGUGUUUGGUGAACUUGAGUUUGUGUGUUUUUUGAACUUGAGUUUCCGUUGUUUUUGAACUUGAGGUUGUGGAAAUUGUUAAACCUGGGAAUCAGGUGUCGGUUGAACUUGAGUUAGUUUGUUUGUUGAACUUGAGUUUGUGGUGUAUUUGAACUUGAGUUUUUGUGUUUUUUGAACUUGAGUUUGUGGCAAUUGUUGAACUUGCGUCUGUGGUUUUUACUGAACUUUAAUCUCUGGCUAUUUUUAACUUGAGUUUUUGGCGUUUGUUGAACUUUAGUUUGUGUCGUGUUUGAACUUGAGUUUGUGGUGUUUUUGAACUUGAGUUUGUGUGUUUGAUGAACUUGAGUUUGUGCUGUGUUUGAACUUGAGUUUGUGUGUUUGUUGAACUUGAGCUUGUGGCAAUUGUUAAACUUGAGAUUUGGCUGUUGGUUGUGUUUUUUGAACUUGAGGUUGUGAAAAUUUUUAAACUUGAAAAUCAGUUGUUUGUCGAACUCGAGUUUGUAGUUUUUGUUAACUUGAGUUUUGUCAUGUUUUAACUUGAGUUUGUAGUUUUUGUACUUGAUUUUAUGGUGUUUUUGAACUUCAGUUUUUGUCAUGUUUGAACUUGAGUUUGUGUCGUGUUUGAACUUGAGUUUGUGGUGUUUUUGAACUUGAGUUUGUGUGUUUGAUGAACUUGAGUUUGUGCUGUGUUUGAACUUGAGUUUGUGUGUUUGUUGAACUUGAGCUUGUGGCAAUUGUUAAACUUGAGAUUUGGCUGUUGGUUGUGUUUUUUGAACUUGAGGUUGUGAAAAUUUUUAAACUUGAAAAUCAGUUGUUUGUUGAACUCGAGUUUGUGGUUUUUGUUAACUUGAGUUUUGUCAUGUUUUAACUUGAGUUUGGAGUUUUUGUACUUGAUUUUAUGGUGUUUUUGAACUUCAGUUUUUGUCAUGUUUGAACUUCAGUGUGUGUCGUGUUUGAACUUUAGUUAGUGGUGUUUUCGAACUUGAGUUUGUGUUGUGUUUGCACUUGAGUUUGUGGUGUUUUUGAACUUGAUUUGGUGUGUUUGUUGAACUUGAGUUUGUGUGUUUUUUGAACUUGAGUUUCCGUUGUUUUUGAACUUGAGGUUGUGGAAAUUGUUAAACCUGGGAAUCAGGUGUCGGUUGAACUUGAGUUAGUUUGUUUGUUGAACUUGAGUUUGUGGUGUAUUUGAACUUGAGUUUUUGUGUUUUUUGAACUUGAGUUUGUGGCAAUUGUUGAACUUGCGUCUGUGGUUUUUACUGAACUUUAAUCUCUGGCUAUUUUUAACUUGAGUUUUUGGCGUUUGUUGAACUUUAGUUUGUGUCGUGUUUGAACUUGAGUUUGUGGUGUUUUUGAACUUGAGUUUGUGUGUUUGAUGAACUUGAGUUUGUGCUGUGUUUGAACUUGAGUUUGUGUGUUUGUUGAACUUGAGCUUGUGGCAAUUGUUAAACUUGAGAUUUGGCUGUUGGUUGUGUUUUUUGAACUUGAGGUUGUGAAAAUUUUUAAACUUGAAAAUCAGUUGUUUGUUGAACUCGAGUUUGUAGUUUUUGUUAACUUGAGUUUUGUCAUGUUUUAACUUGAGUUUGUAGUUUUUGUACUUGAUUUUAUGGUGUUUUUGAACUUCAGUUUUUGUCAUGUUUGAACUUGAGUUUGUGUCGUGUUUGAACUUGAGUUUGUGGUGUUUUUGAACUUGAGUUUGUGUGUUUGAUGAACUUGAGUUUGUGCUGUGUUUGAACUUGAGUUUGUGUGUUUGUUGAACUUGAGCUUGUGGCAAUUGUUAAACUUGAGAUUUGGCUGUUGGUUGUGUUUUUUGAACUUGAGGUUGUGAAAAUUUUUAAACUUGAAAAUCAGUUGUUUGUUGAACUCGAGUUUGUAGUUUUUGUUAACUUGAGUUUUGUCAUGUUUUAACUUGAGUUUGUAGUUUUUGUACUUGAUUUUAUGGUGUUUUUGAACUUCAGUUUUUGUCAUGUUUGAACUUGAGUUUGUGUCGUGUUUGAACUUGAGUUUGUGGUGUUUUUGAACUUGAGUUUGUGUGUUUGAUGAACUUGAGUUUGUGCUGUGUUUGAACUUGAGUUUGUGUGUUUGUUGAACUUGAGCUUGUGGCAAUUGUUAAACUUGAGAUUUGGCUGUUGGUUGUGUUUUUUGAACUUGAGGUUGUGAAAAUUUUUAAACUUGAAAAUCAGUUGUUUGUUGAACUCGAGUUUGUAGUUUUUGUUAACUUGAGUUUUGUCAUGUUUUAACUUGAGUUUGUAGUUUUUGUACUUGAUUUUAUGGUGUUUUUGAACUUCAGUUUGUGUCGUGUUUGAACUUGAGUGUGUGUGGUGUUUGAACUUUAGUUAGUGGUGUUUUCGAACUUGAGUUUGUGUCGUGUUUGAACUUGAGUUUGUGGUGUUUUUGAACUUGAUUUGGUGUGUUUGUUGAACUUGAGUUUGUUGUCUUUUUGAACUUGAGUUGGUGGUGAUUUUGAACUUGAGUUUCGUGUUAACUUGAGUUUGUGGUUUUUGUUUAACUUGAGUUUGUGUCGUGUUUGAACUUGAGUUUGUGGUGUUUUUGAACUUGAGUUUCGUGUUUGAACUUGAGUUUGUGGUUUUUGUUUAGCUUGAGUUUGUGUCGUGUUUGAACUUGAGUUUGUGGUGUUUUUGAACUUGAGUUUGUGUCGUGUUUGAACUUGAGUUUGUGGUGUUUUUGAACUUGAGUUUGUGUGUUUGUUGAACUUGAGUUUUUGGUCUUUUUGAACUUGAGUUGGUGGUGAUUUUGAACUUGAGUUUGUGGUAUUUCUGAAGUUGAGGGUGUGGAAUUUUUUUAACUUGAGGUUGUGGAAAUUGUUAAACUUGUGUGUUAUUUGAACUCUAGUUUGUGCCGUGUUUGAACUUGAGUUUGUGGUGUUUGUUGAACUCUAUUUUUUGUGUUUGUUGAACUUGAGUUUCGUGUUUGAACUUGAGUUUUUGGUUUUUGUUGAACUUGAGUUUGUGUCGUUUUUGAACUUGAGUUUCUGGUUUUUUGAAGUUGAGGGUGUGGAAUUUGUUGAACUUGAUGUUGUGGGAUUUGUUAAACUUGAGUUUGUGUUUAAGUUGAACUUGAGUUUGUGUCGUGUUUGAACUUGAGUUUUUGUGUUUGUUGAACUUAAGUUUGUGUUGUUUUUGAACAUGAGUUUGUUUCAUGUUUGAACUUGACUUUGUGGCGUUUGUUGAACUUGAGUUUGUGUGGUUGUUUAACUUGAGGUUGUGGCAGUUGUUAAGCUUGAGAUUUGGUUGUUGGUUGAACUCUAGUUUGUGUCGUGUUUGAACUUGAGUUUGUGGUUUUUGUUGAACUUGAGUUUGUGUUUUUUGUUGAACUUGAGUUUGUGUGUUUUUUGAACUUGAGUUUCUGUUGUUUUUGAACUUAGUUUGUGUGUGUUUGUUAAACUUGAGUUUGUGUCGUGUUUGAACUUGAGUUUGUGAUGUUUUUGAACUUGAGGUUGUGGAGAUUUUUUAUCUUGAGAAUUGGGUAUUGGUCGAACUUGAGUUUUUGUUGCUUUUUAACUUGAGUUUGUGACGUGUUUAAACUUAGGUUUUGGUGUGUUUUAACUUGAGUUUGUGUGUUUGUUGAACUUGAGGAUGUGGCAAUAGCUAAACUUCAGAUUUGGGUGUUGGUUGAAUUUGAGUUUGUGUCAUGUCUGAACUUGAGUUCAUGAUGUUUGUUUAACUUUAUUUUGUGUUUUUUGAACUUGAGGUUUUGAAAAUUUUUAAACUUGAGAAUCAGGUGUUUGUUGAACUUGAGUUUGUGGUUUUUUUUUACUUGAGUUUGUGUCGUGUUUUAACUUGAGUUUGUGGUUUUUUUUUAACUUGAGGUUGUGGAAAUUGUUAAACUUGAGAAUCUGGUAUUGGUUGAACUUGAGUCAUUGGUGUUUUUGAACUUGAGUUUGUGUCGUGUUUGAACUUGAGUUUGUGGUGUUUUUGACCUUGAAUUUGCGUGUUUGGUGAACUUGAGUUUGUGUGUUUGUUGCACUUGAGGUUGUGGCAAUUUUUAAACUUGAGACUUGGAUAUUGGUUGACCUUGAGUUUGUGUCGUGUUUCAACUUGAGUCUGUGAUCUUUUUGAACUUGAGCUUGUGGAAUUGUAAAACUUGAGAAUCAGGUGUUGGUUGAACUUGAAUUUGUGUUUUUUUUUAAACUUGAGUUUGUGUUGUGUUUGAACUUGAGUAUGUUGUGUAUUUGAACUUCAGUCUGUGUUGUUUUUGAACUUGAGGUGUUGGAAAUUGUUCAACUUGAGAAAGUGGGUAUUGGUUGAACUUGAGUUUAUACUGUUUUUGAACUUGUGUUUGUGGUGUGUUUGAACUUGAGAUUGUGUGUUAUUUGAACUUGAGGUUGUUAAAAUUUUUAAACUUGAGAAUCAGGUGUUGGUUGAACUUGAGUUUGUGGUUUUUGUUGAACUUGAGUUUGUGGUGUGUUUGAACUUGAGAUUGUGUGUUAUUUAAACUUGAGGUUGUGAAAAUUUUUAAACUUGACAAUAAGGUGUUGGUUGAACUUGAGUUUGUGUUGUGUUUGAACUUGAUUUUGUGCCGUUUUCUAACUUGAGUUUGUGGUGAUUUUGAACUUGAGUCUGUGUUGUUCUUGAAUUUGAAGUUGUGGAAAUUGUUAAACUUGAGAAUUGGGUCCUGGUUGAACUUGAGUUUUUGGUGUUUUUGAACUUGAGUUUGUGUCGUGUUUGAACUUGAGUUUGUGGUGUUUUUGAACUUUAAUUUGCGUGUUUUGUGAACUUGAGUUUGUGUUUUUUGAACUUGAGUUUCUGUUGUAUUUGAACUUGAGGUUGUGGAUAUUGUUAACCUUUGAAUCAGGUGUUUGUUGAACUUGAGUUUGUGUCAUGUUUGAACUUGAGUUUGUUGUGUGUUUGAACUUGAGUUGGUUUGUUUGAUGAACUCCAGGUUGUGGCAAUUGUUUAACUUGAGAUUUGAGUGUUGGUUCAACUUGAGUUUGUGGCGUGUUUGAAGUUGAGUUCUUGUUUGUUGAACUUCAUUUUGUGUGUUUUUUUAAAUUGAGGUUGUGAAAAUUUAUAAACUUGAGAAUCAGGUGUUGGUUGAAAUUGAGUUUGUGUCGUGUUUGAACUUGAGUUUGUGGUGUAUUUGAACUUGAGUUCGUGUGUUUGAUGAACUUGAGUUUGUGUGUUUGUUGAACUUGAGUUUGUGUGUUUGUUGAACUUGAGUUUGUGUUGUGUUUGAACUUGAGUUUGUGGUGUUUUUGAACUUGAGGGUGUGUAAUUUGUUUAACUUGAGGUUGUGGCAAUUGUUAAACUUGAGUUUGUGUGUUUGUUGAACUUGGGUUUGUGGUGUUUGAACUCGAGUAUGUGUGUUUGUUGAAGUUGAGUUUGUGUUGUGUUUGAAUUUGAGUUUGUGGCGUUUGUUGAACUUGAGUUUGUGGCAUUUGUUGAACUUGAGUUUGUGUGUUUGUUGAACUUGAGGUUGUGGCAAUUGUUUAACUUGAGAUUUGGGUGUUGGUUGAACUUGAGUUUGUGUCGUGUUUGAACUUGAGUUUUUUGUGUUUUUGAACUUGAGUUUGUGUUUUUUUUUUACUUUAGGUUGCAGGGUUUUUGAACUUGAGUUUGUUGAAGUUAAGGUUGUGGCAAUUGUUAAACUUGAGAUUUGGGUGUUGGUUGAACUUGAGUUUUUGCUGUUUUUGAACCUGAGUUUUUGGUGAUUUUGAACUUGAGUUACUGUGUUUGUUGAACUUGAGUUUGUGUUGCAUUUGAACUUGAGUUUGUGUCGUGUUUGAACUUGAGUUUGUGUGUUUUUUGAACUUGAGGUUGUGAAAAUGUUUAAUCUUGAGAAUCAGGUGUUGGUUGAACUUGAGUUUGUGGUUUUUGUUGAACUUGAGUUUGUGUAAAACUUGAGCUUGUGUGUUUUUUGAACUUGAGUCUGUGUUGUUUUUGAUCUUGAGGUUGUGGAAAUUGUUAAACUUGAGAUUUGGGUGUUGGUUGAACAUGAGUGUGUCUGUUUGUUGAACUUGAUUUUUUGUCGUGUUUGAACUUGAUUUUGUGGUGUUUUUGAACUUGAAUUUGCGUGUUUGUUGAACUUGAGUUUGUGUGUUUUUUGAACUUGAGUUUCUGUUGUUUUUGAACUUGAGGUUGUGGAAAUUGUUAAACUUGACAAUAAGUUGUUUUUGGUUGAACUUGAAUUUCUUUGUUUGUUGAACUUGAGUUUGUGUUGUGUUUGAAUUUGAGUUUGUGUUGUUUUUGAAUUUGAGUUUUUAUUAUUGCUUGAACUUGAGAUUUGGGUGUUGGUUGAACUUGAGUUUGUGGUGUUUAUGAACUUGAGGGUGUGUAAUUUGUUGAACUUGAGGUUGUGGCAAUUGUUAAACUUGAGUUAGUGUGUUUGUUGAACUUGAAUUUUUUUUUGAACUUGAGUUUGUGUGUUUGUUGAAAUUGAGGUUGUGGCAAUUGUUUAACUUGAGAUUUGGGUGUUGGUUGAACUUGAGUUUGUGUUGUUUUUGAACUUGAGUUUGUGGCGUUUCGGAACUUGAGUUGGUGGUUUUUUUGAACUUGAGUUUCGUGUUUGAACUUGAUUCUGUGGUUUUUGUUGAACUUGAGUUUGUGUCGUGUUUGAACUUCAGUUUGUGGUGUUUUUUAACUUGAGUUUGUGGUUUUUUUGAAGUUGAGAGUGUGGAAUUUUUUGAACUUCAGUUUGUGGCAAUUGUUAAACUUGAGUUUGUGUUUUAGUUGAACCUGAGUUUGUUUCGUGUUUGAACUUGAGUUUGUGGUGUUUUUAAACAUGACUUUGUGGUAUUUUUAAAUUUGAGGGGUAGAAUUUGUUGAACUUGAGGUUGUGGCAAUUGUUAAACUUGAGAUUUGGGUGUUUUUGAACUUGAGUUUGUGUUUUUUUUUUACUUUAGGUUGCAGGGUUUUUGAACUUGAGUUUGUUGAAGUUAAGGUUGUGGCAAUUGUUAAACUUGAGAUUUGGGUGUUGGUUGAACUUGAGUUUUUGCUGUUUUUGAACCUGAGUUUUUGGUGAUUUUGAACUUGAGUUACUGUGUUUGUUGAACUUGAGUUUGUGUUGCAUUUGAACUUGAGUUUGUGUCGUGUUUGAACUUGAGUUUGUGUGUUUUUUGAACUUGAGGUUGUGAAAAUGUUUAAUCUUGAGAAUCAGGUGUUGGUUGAACUUGAGUUUGUGGUUUUUGUUGAACUUGAGUUUGUGUAAAACUUGAGCUUGUGUGUUUUUUGAACUUGAGUCUGUGUUGUAUUUGAGCUGGAGGUUGUGGAAAUUGUUAAACUUGAGAUUUGGGUGUUGGUUGAACAUGAGUGUGUCUGUUUGUUGAACUUGAUUUUUUGUCGUGUUUGAACUUGAUUUUGUGGUGUUUUUGAACUUGAAUUUGCGUGUUUGUUGAACUUGAGUUUGUGUGUUUUUUGAACUUGAGUUUCUGUUGUUUUUGAACUUGAGGUUGUGGAAAUUGUUAAACUUGACAAUAAGUUGUUUUUGGUUGAACUUGAAUUUCUUUGUUUGUUGAACUUGAGUUUGUGUUGUGUUUGAAUUUGAGUUUGUGUUGUUUUUGAAUUUGAGUUUUUAUUAUUGCUUGAACUUGAGAUUUGGGUGUUGGUUGAACUUGAGUUUGUGGUGUUUAUGAACUUGAGGGUGUGUAAUUUGUUGAACUUGAGGUUGUGGCAAUUGUUAAACUUGAGUUUGUGUGUUUGUUGAACUUGAGUUUGUGUCGUGUUUGAACUUGAGUUUGUGUGAUUGUUGAACUUGAGGUUGUGGCAAUUGUUUAACUUGAGAUUUGGGUGUUGGUUGAACUUGAGUUUGUGUUGUUUUUGAACUUGAGUUUGUGGCGUUUCUGAACUUGAGUUGGUGGUGUUUUUGAACUUGAGUUUCAUGUUUGAACUUGAUUUUGUGGUUUUUGUUUAACUUGAGUUUGUGUCGUGUUUGAACUUCAGUUUGUGGUGUUUUUUAACUUGAGUUUGUGGUUUUUUUGAAGUUGAGAGUGUGGAAUUUUUUGAACUUCAGUUUGUGGCAAUUGUUAAACUUGAGUUUGUGUUUUAGUUGAACCUGAGUUUGUUUCGUGUUUGAACUUGAGUUUGUGGUGUUUUUAAACAUGACUUUGUGGUAUUUUUAAAUUUGAGGGGGUAGAAUUUGUUGAACUUGAGGUUGUGGCAAUUGUUAAACUUGAGAUUUGGGUGUUGGUUGAACUUGAGUUUGUGUUGUUUUUGAACUUGAGUUUGUGGCGUUUCUGAACUUGAGUUGGUGGUGUUUUUGAACUUGAGUUUCAUGUUUGAACUUGAUUUUGUGGUUUUUGUUGAACUUGAGUUUGUGUCGGUGUGAACUUGAGUUUGUGGUGUUUUUUAACUUGAGUUUGUGGUUUUUUUGAAGUUGAGAGUGUGGAAUUUGUUGAACUUCAGUUUGUGGCAAUUGUUAAACUUGAGUUUGUGUUUUAGUUGAACCUGAGUUUGUUUCGUGUUUGAACUUGAGUUUGUGGUGUUUUUAAACAUGACUUUGUGGUAUUUUUAAAUUUGAGGGGGUAGAAUUUGUUGAACUUGAGGUUGUGGCAAUUGUUAAACUUGAGAUUUGGGUGUUUUUGAACUUGAGUUUGUGUUUUUUUUUUACUUUAGGUUGCAGGGUUUUUGAACUUGAGUUUGUUGAAGUUAAGGUUGUGGCAAUUGUUAAACUUGAGAUUUGGGUGUUGGUUGAACUUGAGUUUUUGCUGUUUUUGAACCUGAGUUUUUGGUGAUUUUGAACUUGAGUUACUGUGUUUGUUGAACUUGAGUUUGUGUUGCAUUUGAACUUGAGUUUGUGUCGUGUUUGAACUUGAGUUUGUGUGUUUUUUGAACUUGAGGUUGUGAAAAUGUUUAAUCUUGAGAAUCAGGUGUUGGUUGAACUUGAGUUUGUGGUUUUUGUUGAACUUGAGUUUGUGUAAAACUUGAGCUUGUGUGUUUUUUGAACUUGAGUCUGUGUUGUAUUUGAGCUGGAGGUUGUGGAAAUUGUUAAACUUGAGAUUUGGGUGUUGGUUGAACAUGAGUGUGUCUGUUUGUUGAACUUGAUUUUUUGUCGUGUUUGAACUUGAUUUUGUGGUGUUUUUGAACUUGAAUUUGCGUGUUUGUUGAACUUGAGUUUGUGUGUUUUUUGAACUUGAGUUUCUGUUGUUUUUGAACUUGAGGUUGUGGAAAUUGUUAAACUUGACAAUAAGUUGUUUUUGGUUGAACUUGAAUUUCUUUGUUUGUUGAACUUGAGUUUGUGUUGUGUUUGAAUUUGAGUUUGUGUUGUUUUUGAAUUUGAGUUUUUAUUAUUGCUUGAACUUGAGAUUUGGGUGUUGGUUGAACUUGAGUUUGUGGUGUUUAUGAACUUGAGGGUGUGUAAUUUGUUGAACUUGAGGUUGUGGCAAUUGUUAAACUUGAGUUUGUGUGUUUGUUGAACUUGAGUUUGUGUCGUGUUUGAACUUGAGUUUGUGUGAUUGUUGAACUUGAGGUUGUGGCAAUUGUUUAACUUGAGAUUUGGGUGUUGGUUGAACUUGAGUUUGUGUUGUUUUUGAACUUGAGUUUGUGGCGUUUCUGAACUUGAGUUGGUGGUGUUUUUGAACUUGAGUUUCAUGUUUGAACUUGAUUUUGUGGUUUUUGUUUAACUUGAGUUUGUGUCGUGUUUGAACUUCAGUUUGUGGUGUUUUUUAACUUGAGUUUGUGGUUUUUUUGAAGUUGAGAGUGUGGAAUUUUUUGAACUUCAGUUUGUGGCAAUUGUUAAACUUGAGUUUGUGUUUUAGUUGAACCUGAGUUUGUUUCGUGUUUGAACUUGAGUUUGUGGUGUUUUUAAACAUGACUUUGUGGUAUUUUUAAAUUUGAGGGGGUAGAAUUUGUUGAACUUGAGGUUGUGGCAAUUGUUAAACUUGAGAUUUGGGUGUUGGUUGAACUUGAGUUUGUGUUGUUUUUGAACUUGAGUUUGUGGCGUUUCUGAACUUGAGUUGGUGGUGUUUUUGAACUUGAGUUUCAUGUUUGAACUUGAUUUUGUGGUUUUUGUUGAACUUGAGUUUGUGUCGGUGUGAACUUGAGUUUGUGGUGUUUUUUAACUUGAGUUUGUGGUUUUUUUGAAGUUGAGAGUGUGGAAUUUGUUGAACUUCAGUUUGUGGCAAUUGUUAAACUUGAGUUUGUGGUUUUUUUGAACUUGAGUUUGUUUCGUGUUUGAACUUGAGUUUGUGGUGUUUUUAAACAUGACUUUGUGGUAUUUUUAAAUUUGAGGGGGUAGAAUUUGUUGAACUUGAGGUUGUGGCAAUUGUUAAACUUGAGAUUUGGGUGUUUUUGAACUUGAGUUUGUGUUUUUUUUUUACUUUAGGUUGCAGGGUUUUUGAACUUGAGUUUGUUGAAGUUAAGGUUGUGGCAAUUGUUAAACUUGAGAUUUGGGUGUUGGUUGAACUUGAGUUUUUGCUGUUUUUGAACCUGAGUUUUUGGUGAUUUUGAACUUGAGUUACUGUGUUUGUUGAACUUGAGUUUGUGUUGCAUUUGAACUUGAGUUUGUGUCGUGUUUGAACUUGAGUUUGUGUGUUUUUUGAACUUGAGGUUGUGAAAAUGUUUAAUCUUGAGAAUCAGGUGUUGGUUGAACUUGAGUUUGUGGUUUUUGUUGAACUUGAGUUUGUGUAAAACUUGAGCUUGUGUGUUUUUUGAACUUGAGUCUGUGUUGUAUUUGAGCUGGAGGUUGUGGAAAUUGUUAAACUUGAGAUUUGGGUGUUGGUUGAACAUGAGUGUGUCUGUUUGUUGAACUUGAUUUUUUGUCGUGUUUGAACUUGAUUUUGUGGUGUUUUUGAACUUGAAUUUGCGUGUUUGUUGAACUUGAGUUUGUGUGUUUUUUGAACUUGAGUUUCUGUUGUUUUUGAACUUGAGGUUGUGGAAAUUGUUAAACUUGACAAUAAGUUGUUUUUGGUUGAACUUGAAUUUCUUUGUUUGUUGAACUUGAGUUUGUGUUGUGUUUGAAUUUGAGUUUGUGUUGUUUUUGAAUUUGAGUUUUUAUUAUUGCUUGAACUUGAGAUUUGGGUGUUGGUUGAACUUGAGUUUGUGGUGUUUAUGAACUUGAGGGUGUGUAAUUUGUUGAACUUGAGGUUGUGGCAAUUGUUAAACUUGAGUUUGUGUGUUUGUUGAACUUGAGUUUGUGUCGUGUUUGAACUUGAGUUUGUGUGAUUGUUGAACUUGAGGUUGUGGCAAUUGUUUAACUUGAGAUUUGGGUGUUGGUUGAACUUGAGUUUGUGUUGUUUUUGAACUUGAGUUUGUGGCGUUUCUGAACUUGAGUUGGUGGUGUUUUUGAACUUGAGUUUCAUGUUUGAACUUGAUUUUGUGGUUUUUGUUUAACUUGAGUUUGUGUCGUGUUUGAACUUCAGUUUGUGGUGUUUUUUAACUUGAGUUUGUGGUUUUUUUGAAGUUGAGAGUGUGGAAUUUUUUGAACUUCAGUUUGUGGCAAUUGUUAAACUUGAGUUUGUGUUUUAGUUGAACCUGAGUUUGUUUCGUGUUUGAACUUGAGUUUGUGGUGUUUUUAAACAUGACUUUGUGGUAUUUUUAAAUUUGAGGGGGUAGAAUUUGUUGAACUUGAGGUUGUGGCAAUUGUUAAACUUGAGAUUUGGGUGUUGGUUGAACUUGAGUUUGUGUUGUUUUUGAACUUGAGUUUGUGGCGUUUCUGAACUUGAGUUGGUGGUGUUUUUGAACUUGAGUUUCAUGUUUGAACUUGAUUUUGUGGUUUUUGUUGAACUUGAGUUUGUGUCGGUGUGAACUUGAGUUUGUGGUGUUUUUUAACUUGAGUUUGUGGUUUUUUUGAAGUUGAGAGUGUGGAAUUUGUUGAACUUCAGUUUGUGGCAAUUGUUAAACUUGAGUUUGUGUUUUAGUUGAACCUGAGUUUGUUUCGUGUUUGAACUUGAGUUUGUGGUGUUUUUAAACAUGACUUUGUGGUAUUUUUAAAUUUGAGGGGGUAGAAUUUGUUGAACUUGAGGUUGUGGCAAUUGUUAAACUUGAGAUUUGGGUGUUUUUGAACUUGAGUUUGUGUUUUUUUUUUACUUUAGGUUGCAGGGUUUUUGAACUUGAGUUUGUUGAAGUUAAGGUUGUGGCAAUUGUUAAACUUGAGAUUUGGGUGUUGGUUGAACUUGAGUUUUUGCUGUUUUUGAACCUGAGUUUUUGGUGAUUUUGAACUUGAGUUACUGUGUUUGUUGAACUUGAGUUUGUGUUGCAUUUGAACUUGAGUUUGUGUCGUGUUUGAACUUGAGUUUGUGUGUUUUUUGAACUUGAGGUUGUGAAAAUGUUUAAUCUUGAGAAUCAGGUGUUGGUUGAACUUGAGUUUGUGGUUUUUGUUGAACUUGAGUUUGUGUAAAACUUGAGCUUGUGUGUUUUUUGAACUUGAGUCUGUGUUGUAUUUGAGCUGGAGGUUGUGGAAAUUGUUAAACUUGAGAUUUGGGUGUUGGUUGAACAUGAGUGUGUCUGUUUGUUGAACUUGAUUUUUUGUCGUGUUUGAACUUGAUUUUGUGGUGUUUUUGAACUUGAAUUUGCGUGUUUGUUGAACUUGAGUUUGUGUGUUUUUUGAACUUGAGUUUCUGUUGUUUUUGAACUUGAGGUUGUGGAAAUUGUUAAACUUGACAAUAAGUUGUUUUUGGUUGAACUUGAAUUUCUUUGUUUGUUGAACUUGAGUUUGUGUUGUGUUUGAAUUUGAGUUUGUGUUGUUUUUGAAUUUGAGUUUUUAUUAUUGCUUGAACUUGAGAUUUGGGUGUUGGUUGAACUUGAGUUUGUGGUGUUUAUGAACUUGAGGGUGUGUAAUUUGUUGAACUUGAGGUUGUGGCAAUUGUUAAACUUGAGUUUGUGUGUUUGUUGAACUUGAGUUUGUGUCGUGUUUGAACUUGAGUUUGUGUGAUUGUUGAACUUGAGGUUGUGGCAAUUGUUUAACUUGAGAUUUGGGUGUUGGUUGAACUUGAGUUUGUGUUGUUUUUGAACUUGAGUUUGUGGCGUUUCUGAACUUGAGUUGGUGGUGUUUUUGAACUUGAGUUUCAUGUUUGAACUUGAUUUUGUGGUUUUUGUUUAACUUGAGUUUGUGUCGUGUUUGAACUUCAGUUUGUGGUGUUUUUUAACUUGAGUUUGUGGUUUUUUUGAAGUUGAGAGUGUGGAAUUUUUUGAACUUCAGUUUGUGGCAAUUGUUAAACUUGAGUUUGUGUUUUAGUUGAACCUGAGUUUGUUUCGUGUUUGAACUUGAGUUUGUGGUGUUUUUAAACAUGACUUUGUGGUAUUUUUAAAUUUGAGGGGGUAGAAUUUGUUGAACUUGAGGUUGUGGCAAUUGUUAAACUUGAGAUUUGGGUGUUGGUUGAACUUGAGUUUGUGUUGUUUUUGAACUUGAGUUUGUGGCGUUUCUGAACUUGAGUUGGUGGUGUUUUUGAACUUGAGUUUCAUGUUUGAACUUGAUUUUGUGGUUUUUGUUGAACUUGAGUUUGUGUCGGUGUGAACUUGAGUUUGUGGUGUUUUUUAACUUGAGUUUGUGGUUUUUUUGAAGUUGAGAGUGUGGAAUUUGUUGAACUUCAGUUUGUGGCAAUUGUUAAACUUGAGUUUGUGUUUUAGUUGAACCUGAGUUUGUUUCGUGUUUGAACUUGAGUUUGUGGUGUUUUUAAACAUGACUUUGUGGUAUUUUUAAAUUUGAGGGGGUAGAAUUUGUUGAACUUGAGGUUGUGGCAAUUGUUAAACUUGAGAUUUGGGUGUUUUUGAACUUGAGUUUGUGUUUUUUUUUUACUUUAGGUUGCAGGGUUUUUGAACUUGAGUUUGUUGAAGUUAAGGUUGUGGCAAUUGUUAAACUUGAGAUUUGGGUGUUGGUUGAACUUGAGUUUUUGCUGUUUUUGAACCUGAGUUUUUGGUGAUUUUGAACUUGAGUUACUGUGUUUGUUGAACUUGAGUUUGUGUUGCAUUUGAACUUGAGUUUGUGUCGUGUUUGAACUUGAGUUUGUGUGUUUUUUGAACUUGAGGUUGUGAAAAUGUUUAAUCUUGAGAAUCAGGUGUUGGUUGAACUUGAGUUUGUGGUUUUUGUUGAACUUGAGUUUGUGUAAAACUUGAGCUUGUGUGUUUUUUGAACUUGAGUCUGUGUUGUAUUUGAGCUGGAGGUUGUGGAAAUUGUUAAACUUGAGAUUUGGGUGUUGGUUGAACAUGAGUGUGUCUGUUUGUUGAACUUGAUUUUUUGUCGUGUUUGAACUUGAUUUUGUGGUGUUUUUGAACUUGAAUUUGCGUGUUUGUUGAACUUGAGUUUGUGUGUUUUUUGAACUUGAGUUUCUGUUGUUUUUGAACUUGAGGUUGUGGAAAUUGUUAAACUUGACAAUAAGUUGUUUUUGGUUGAACUUGAAUUUCUUUGUUUGUUGAACUUGAGUUUGUGUUGUGUUUGAAUUUGAGUUUGUGUUGUUUUUGAAUUUGAGUUUUUAUUAUUGCUUGAACUUGAGAUUUGGGUGUUGGUUGAACUUGAGUUUGUGGUGUUUAUGAACUUGAGGGUGUGUAAUUUGUUGAACUUGAGGUUGUGGCAAUUGUUAAACUUGAGUUUGUGUGUUUGUUGAACUUGAGUUUGUGUCGUGUUUGAACUUGAGUUUGUGUGAUUGUUGAACUUGAGGUUGUGGCAAUUGUUUAACUUGAGAUUUGGGUGUUGGUUGAACUUGAGUUUGUGUUGUUUUUGAACUUGAGUUUGUGGCGUUUCUGAACUUGAGUUGGUGGUGUUUUUGAACUUGAGUUUCAUGUUUGAACUUGAUUUUGUGGUUUUUGUUUAACUUGAGUUUGUGUCGUGUUUGAACUUCAGUUUGUGGUGUUUUUUAACUUGAGUUUGUGGUUUUUUUGAAGUUGAGAGUGUGGAAUUUUUUGAACUUCAGUUUGUGGCAAUUGUUAAACUUGAGUUUGUGUUUUAGUUGAACCUGAGUUUGUUUCGUGUUUGAACUUGAGUUUGUGGUGUUUUUAAACAUGACUUUGUGGUAUUUUUAAAUUUGAGGGGGUAGAAUUUGUUGAACUUGAGGUUGUGGCAAUUGUUAAACUUGAGAUUUGGGUGUUGGUUGAACUUGAGUUUGUGUUGUUUUUGAACUUGAGUUUGUGGCGUUUCUGAACUUGAGUUGGUGGUGUUUUUGAACUUGAGUUUCA